UAACACAUGCAAGUCGAACGGGAGGACAUGGGAAGCUUGCUUCCUAUGGACUCUAGUGGCAAACGGGUGAGUAACGCGUAAGCAACCUGCCCUCCGGAUGGGGACAACAGCUGGAAACGGCUGCUAAUACCGAAUACGUUUUCAUUGCCGCAUGGCAGUGGGAAGAAAGGUGGCCUCUGAAUAUGCUACCGCCGGGGGAGGGGCUUGCGUCUGAUUAGCUAGUUGGUGAGAUAAAA
rnacentral:rRNA from 1 species